rnacentral:misc_RNA from 1 species
AAAUGCGAUAAGUAAUGUGAAUUGCAGAAUUCAGUGAAUCAUCGAAUCUUUGAACGCACCUUGCACUCCUUGGUAUUCCUUGGAGCAUGCCUGUUUGAGUAUCAUGAAAUCUUCAAAGUAAAUCUUUUGUUAACUCAAUUGGUUUCUACUUUGGUAUUGGAGGUCUUUGCAGCUUCACACCUGCUCCUCUUUGUUCAUUAGCUGGAUCUCAGUGUUAUGCUUGGUUCCACUCGGCGUGAUAAGUUAUCUAUCGCUGAGGACACUGUAAAAGGUGGCCAAGGUAAAUGCAGAUGAACCGCUUCUAAUAGUCCAUUGACUUGGACAAUACUUUUAUGAUCUGAUCUCAAAUCAGGUAGGACUACCCGCUGAACUUAAGC